rnacentral:rRNA from 1 species
CCCUUGUACACACCGCCCGUCACGCCAUGGAAGCUGGGGGACCUGAAGCCGGUGGGCUAACCGCAAGGGGGCAGCCGUCAAAGGUCAAUUCAGUGACUGGGGCG